UGGGGAAUAUUGGGCAAUGGGCGCAAGCCUGACCCAGCGACGCCGCGUGGGGGAAGAAGUCUUUCGGGACGUAAACCCAUGUUGUACGGGACGAAGGAAGUGACGGUACCGUACGAGGAAGCCCCGGCAAACUACGUGCCAGCAGCCGCGGUAAUACGUAGGGGGCGAGCGUUGUCCGGAAUCACUGGGCGUAAAGCGCACGUAGGCGGGCUGUUAAGUCGGCCGUGAAAUACACUGGCUCAACCGGUGCAGGUCGGUCGAUACUGGCGGUCUGGAGUAUGGGAGAGGGAACUGGAAUUCCCGGUGUAGCGGUGAAAUGCGUAGAUAUGCGGGAGGAACACCAGUGGCGAAGGCGGGUUUCCUGGCCCAUGACUGACGCUGAGGUGCGAAAGCCGGGGGAGCGAACGGGAUUAGAUACCCGGUNNNCCGGCUGAUAAACGAUGGAUGCUAGGUGUGGGGGAGGUUCCUCUCUGUGCCGCAGCUAACGCGAUAAGCAUCCCGCCUGGGGAGUACGAUCGCAAGAUUGAAACUCAAAUGAAUUGAC
rnacentral:rRNA from 1 species